rnacentral:RNase_P_RNA from 1 species
CCAGUCGGUCGGAGAACCGCGCUUAUUUAAAGUAAGUGAGGAAAGUCCGGACUUCACGGAAGCAUGGUGCCGGUUAAUGGCCGGGCGGGGUAACCUGACGGAAAGUGCAACAGAAAACAAACCGCCCAUUUUCGAAUGGGUAAGGGUGAAACGGUGCGGUAAGAGCGCACCACUCGUCCAGUAAUGGACAGGUACGGCAAACCCCACCAGAAGCAAGACCAAAUAGGGGCUGCGCAUAACGCGUUUCCGAGUUGUGGCCCGGGUAGGUUGCUAGAGAUAUGCAGUAAUGUAUAUCGGAGAGGAAUGGUUCUCGUCCCGCAAGGGAUACAGAAUCCGGCUUAUAGACCGACUGGCAUU